UGAGUUUCUUAAACAUUUCCUUCGCUGUGUUCGAUCAAUCUUCAUUCAAUAUAAUGGCUAUUUCUCUUGUCAAUUUACUAAAUACAAUACACUUCCAUUUUCUACAACCUCUUCCUUGCUUGAGUGUUGACGAUACAGAAAGAAUAAUGAUCGAAUCUUUGUGUAAGAAGCUCCGAUUUUUGCAAGCCUUUGUGGAGGAUUCUCAGAAGAACAACAUCAACUGCCCGGCAUGGAGAGACUUGGAGACAGAGAUCAGAGAUGUAGCUGCUGAAGCAGAGACCAAAAUUGACAACAUCAACUACCCCUCAGGCCUGCUAUCUCACUCAGAGAGGUACUUACAAUUCAGUGAGAGGAUUAGUCACUGUGUUGGGCUGUGGAAAUCCUGGCUACACCCAAAAAAAGAACUCAUCAACUGCCGGGCAGGGAGAAGCUUGGAGACAGAGAUCAGAGAUGUAGCUGCUGGAGCGGAAAGCAAAAUUGAACUAGAAUUAUAUAAACUCUACAGCGAGGAAGAAGCCCCUGUUGAGCCUUGUGAGAGUCUUCAUCAGACCUUGCAACAAGUAACGGGAGACAUUGAAUCACUUGAACGGAGAAUUCUGCAGAUUGAGAGCAAUGACUCUGUAGAGCCGCCAAGAACAAACGCAGCAAUACAGAAUAUCAAAGCUGAUAGCUCCUCAAAACGUUCUACAGAGCCCGAGAAUGAAAUGGUAGGAUGCGACGAUGAGUUUGAAACCAUCAAGAACAAGCUCAUUUCAGAUUCAAAUAACCUGGAAGUCAUCUCAAUCACAGGGAUGGGAGGCAUUGGCAAGACUACUUUAGCUCAAAGAGUCUACAAUGGUGAAGCAGCAAUGGCUCAUUUUGACAUUCGAACAUGGACUACUGUAUCUCAAGAACACAAUCUUGGAGAAAUGCUCUGUCGCCUUCUCGGCAAUAAUGACACCAAUCCAGAUGUCUCUAAUCUAGCAAGUCAACUACGCCAAAAGUUGUUGGGUCACAGGUAUCUCAUUGUCAUAGAUGAUAUAUGGAGCACUCAAGCAUGGGAUGACAUUCAUAGAUGUUUCCCAGAAGAUUUCAAUGGGAGUCGAAUAUUGCUGACUACACGGCUCAAACAAGUGGCUGACUAUGUUAGUUCUGGUAACAAUCUUUAUUCCAUGCGAUUCUUAAAUCUCAAUGAAAGUUGGGAUUUAUUUUACAAGAAAGUAUUUGUAGAAAAAAAAUUUCCCCUUGAAUUUGAGAAAGUUGGUAGACGAAUUGUUGAAAAAUGCCAAGGAUUACCUCUAACAAUUAUAGUGGUUGGUGGGCUUCUUUCCUCCUCAUCCAACAAGCCAUCACUAAAUCAGUGGGAGAAUGUUGUUGCAAAUUUGGAUCCAUUGCUUAACAUUGAUCCCGAAAUGAAAUGUUCAAAAAUACUCUCACUAAGUUACAACCACUUGCCUCCACAUUUGAAAGCUUGUUUUUUAUACUUUGGAAUUUUUUCAGAAGAUAGGGUGAUUAAAGUGAAAGAGUUGAUUAGGCUAUGGAUUGCAGAGGGAUUCUUAAAGUUAGAGUUGAAUAAAACCAUGGAAGAAGUGGCAUAUGAUUACUUGCAGGAUCUUGUGGAUAGAUGUCUGGUUCAAAUUGAUAAGUGGAGUGUUACUGGUAACAAAAUCAAGUAUUGUAAGCUCCAUGAUGUGCUGCAUAGCUUUAGCUUGAGAGAGGCUCGGAGGGAGAAGCUUUUGUGUGUUAUAAAUGAGAAAAACAAUGUUGGAUUAGCAACAAGCAGCUUGGACCGAAAAGCUUGCCGUUGGGUCGUCAGUGAUCAUUUAAACCAUAUAUAUGAUGAGCCAAUUAGUCAAUCAAGGAAUAUGACUCACACAUCCCAUGAAUUGCGUUCUUUUAUAUAUCUUCCUCAUUCUAUUAUCUUUGAACGCUUUAAUUCCAGAAUACUUCCCUAUUCUAAACUGCUAAGGGUGUUGAACAUGAGUCAAUCUGAUCUAAUUCACGUACCAAAGGAAAUAGUGGAUCUUGUUCAUUUGAGAUACUUAGCCCUAAGAAUUCAGUCGAUAACAUCUAUUGAUUAUUACCCAUGGUUUAAGCUUCGAUGUUUGCAGAGUCUGAUUAUUUCUCAACACUUGGCUUAUUUUUUACCAAACUAUAUUUUGGGUAUGCCACAAAUAAGGCAUGUUCAUUUCUUCCACGGGAGUCUUAAUUACCUCCAUCUCCCAAAGUUGGUUCAAAGAAAUCUACAAACUCUAUAUUGGUUGAGUCUACCUCAUCGUUUACAUACUGAGCCAGACUUCAAAGGGAUUCCAAACGUGAAGGAACUUGGGAUUUACUUAAUGGGCUAUAAGUACUCUUAUUUCAAAAUGUCUUAUUUAAGUAAAGAAACUUGGGAUUUACUACCACCUAUUUCAUUGGAAGGUCUUCUCAAUUUGCAUCAGCUGGAGAACUUAAAAUUUGAAAGAAAUCAAUCUUCUCCGAAAUGUGACAGCAAACUUCUAAAAGCUUUUCCACCAAAUCUCAAGAAGUUGACCCUCACAAGAACAAAUUUUUCAUGGGAGGAUAUGGUCAUUAUUAACACAUUGCCUAACCUUGAGGUUCUAAAAUUGAGAAAGGAUGCUUUCUGUGGCCCUGAGUGGAAAGCAACAGGAAAUGGCUUCUGCAAAUUAAAGUAUUUGGAAGUUACUAAACAUUCAACCCUCAAGCAUUGGAGUGUGGAUGCUGAUCAUUUCCCCAUUCUGGAAUGCAUAUCUCUUAAUUCUUGUCAUCUUUUGGUGGAAUUUCCAACUGGUUUUGGUGACAUUAACACAUUGCAGUUAAUUGAUUUAAAGCAUUGUCCCUCCAGCCUUGUGACUUCUGCUAAAAAUAUUCAAGAAGAGCGGCGGGAUUUUGGAGACGAUAAACUUGUUCUCCGUGAAUUGUAUACUUUCCCAGAGCCAGAGGUAAAAUUUUCUAAUUUAAUUGCAACCUAGCAAUGUUUCUGAGCAUGCCUUGUGAUUCAGUGGGUUGGUUAUUUUCUUCCAACUUUAUUCUCAUUUAUUCCCUUCAUGUUUCUUCUACUUCCAAAAAUGUUGAAUCUCUAAUCCUAAGCGCUCCUCAUGCCCCACCCACGAUAAAACAUGUGGGAGGAGGUAAAUCAUGGUAACUUAAUGGCUAACAAUAAUCAUUAUGUUUCUUAUUUCUAAGAAAGUAUAGAUGAAGCUGAUUUUGCUUGAUGGAUGGAACCUGAUACCUCUACUAAAUGGAGCGCAUGCGACCCUUACCCCAAUUGGUUAGACAUUUGGUUCAAGAACUAGUUUUAAUUUUUCUUGAUUUAAAUCGAUCAGUUACAUUGGUGGUGCAUAUACUUCCUUAUGAACUCAAGAACUGAAUGACUUCAACAUGUUAGAUUUUGGAAUAACGACGGUUUUAAUUUGUUUUGAUCUGCUUCAAUUGGCAAGUCUUCUUUAAUUUUGUACUUAGCUUGUUGUAUCCCUUGCAUUUCAUCUCAUGACUAAUUUUGUAAUAUACAUUCGGCCUCAAUUUUGUUUCUGCUAGGGAUAUAUAGUACCAUGCAUAUGAUUUCUUAUGACAGAAAUAUAUAAGUCAAUGUUGUGAGAAAACAAAAACACAAAUCUCCUCCACAUUCAUUCAACUUAGUUAUUAUUUAAUAUUUCAAUUUCUUUUUUAUUACCUUCAUUUAUACUCCGAUCCGUAUAUAUUUUAUUAAUAUACUAAUAGAUUUUUAUUGUUAAUGUUAUAGGUUGAAAUUGAGAGGUGAAGAUCAGAGGGUGACAAAACAGGUGAUGCCAUGAUCCCAACAAAUGACCUUUGGGCUUUAUUUGCACUGUGCGUGUGGAAUUGCAAUUUGGAAAGAUAGCUACAUACCUAUAUAGUUUCUGCUUUACUUGUUUGGUGUGCAAUAUUAUUACUUUUUCUUCCUUUAACUUGUAUCUCCUUUUAAGUCAUGUUUAUGUUAUGUUUGUACACGUAUAUGUUUUUUAAUUUUGAAAUGUUUGGUUUGUAAUAUCACUAUUUUUUCAUAAUUUGUAUCUUAUCUUAAGUCAAA